CACUGAAGAUGUUAAGAUGAGCCCUAGACAGCUCCGCAGGCA
rnacentral:tRNA from 1 species